rnacentral:rRNA from 1 species
UACAGGGGGCUCGAGCGUUAGUCGGAAUCACUGGGCUUAAAGGGUGCGUAGGCGGCUCGCCAAGUGCUUUGUGAAAUCCCACAGCUCAACUGUGGAACAGCAGGGCAAACUGGCGAGCUUGAGGCAGGUAGGGGCCGGAAGAACAGUUGGUGGAGCGGUGAAAUGCGUAGAUAUCAACUGGAAUGCCGAUGGGGAAGCCGCCCGGCUGGGCCUGUCCUGACGCUGAGGCACGAAAGCCAGGGGAGCAAACGGG